rnacentral:rRNA from 1 species
UACGAAGGGGGCGAGCGUUAUUCGGAAUCACUGGGCGUAAAGCGUGCGUAGGCGGUUGUGAAAGUUAGGAGUGAAAGCCCCAGGCUCAACUUGGGAACUGCUCUUAAUACUACACAACUCGAAUUUGGGAGAGGAUAGCGGAAUUGUCAGUGUAGCAGUGAAAUGCGUAGAUAUUGACAGGAACACCGGUGGCGUAAGCGGCUAUCUGGACCAACAUUGACGCUGAGGCACGAAAGCGUGGGGAUCAAACAGG